GUGCAGCAGGCGCGAAACCUCCGCAAUGCGGGAAACCGCGACGGGGGACCCCGAGUGCCGUGGCAACGCCACGGCUUUUCCGGAGUGUAAAAAGCUCCGGGAAUAAGGGCUGGGCAAGGCCGGUGGCAGCCGCCGCGGUAAUACCGGCGGCCCGAGUGGUGGCCGCUAUUAUUGGGCCUAAAGCGUCCGUAGCCGGGCCCGUAAGUCCCUGGCGAAAUCCCACGGCUCAACCGUGGGGCUUGCUGGGGAUACUGCGGGUCUUGGGACCGGGAGAGGCGGGGGGUACCCCUGGGGUAGGGGUGAAAUCCUAUAAUCCCAGGGGGACCGCCAGUGGCGAAGGCGCCCCGCUGGAACGGGUCCGACGGUGAGGGACGAAGGCCAGGGGAGCAAACCGGAUUAGAUACCCCGGUAGU
rnacentral:rRNA from 1 species